GAAUUGAUUGAAUUGAAUUGGGGAUUUAAUGUAAAGUGAUCUUUUAAAUAAAAAAAAUUCCUAUUGUGAUUCAAGGCUGCCGCUGGCAGACAGCAGGAAGUGCAGUCAAGUUUCUAUGACGUAGAUCGAGUCCUGUUCUUGCUUUCUGCUCAGAGUGCCAUUCCUCUCCAAUAACACCACGGACACAGGAAUUACUAUGGACUUAGGUCCUUCCAACUGUCAAGAGGGUACCCAUUCCAAUUAAAAGAAAAGAGGUCCCCCAUCCACUACAGACUCCUGGAUCCACCUCGUCAACUCCACGAUUCCUCCCAUUAAACUUACCUAUGAGGCCAGAGGUAUUUACAAAAAAUUUGAUAAAAUCUGGAGCCCCUGGUGGGAAUCCGGGCUGGGUGCCUCAACAACUUUCAAUCUUGCUGAAGUUAGGACUGUUAGUACCCUUUUAGACUUACAUGGGAAUUCUCUGACCUCUACGGUAAAACAAGCCUGACUUUCAACUUGAUCCUUACCCUUAAUUAAAUGAACAAAACCUUCUAUGUUACAUAACACAUAGUAUAUACUGUUUUACCUGAACCUUUUGUAUGCUUGUUUUGUUUUUUUUAUUUUAUUUAUUUGUUUUCUCUAUUAUGUUUCACUAAUUCGGAAUAAAAACAAUAAAAAGUUUCUCUAA